rnacentral:tRNA from 1 species
GGGCCUAUAGCUCAGCUGGUUAGAGCGCCGUGCUGAUAACGCGGAGGUGCCUGGUUCGAUUCCAGGUGGGCCCACCA